GUCGGGCAUGGUGGUGCGUGCCUGUAGUCCCAGCUAUUUGGGAGGCUGAGGCAGAGAAUCGCUUGAACCCAGGAGGCCAAGGUUGCAGUGAGCCAAGAUUGUGCCACUGCACUCCAGCCUGGGUAACAGAGUGAGACUCUGUCUCAA
ensembl:misc_RNA Metazoa_SRP Metazoan signal recognition particle RNA